rnacentral:rRNA from 1 species
AAUGAACGCUGGCGGCAUGCCUAACACAUGCAAGUCGAACGGCAGCACCGUGAGUGCUUGCGCUUGCGGGUGUCGCGUGUCGGAAGGUUGACGUAUGUAUCGGAUACCUCUUUUUCGGGGGUGAUAACGUAGGGAAACGUCUGCUAAUACAGCAUAUGUCGUACUGGUGAGGGCAGGGGUUCGUCGGGCUUUUCGCGAUGGUAAGAGCCUAUGUCGGCUUAGCUAGUUGGCGGGGUAAAGGCGCAGCUAGGCGACGCUCCGUAGAUGCUCUGACAGGAUGAUCCGACACACUGGAAGUGAGGCACGGCCGAGACUCCUACAGGAGGCAGCAGUCGGGAAUAUUGCGCGAUGGGGGAAAGCCUGAUACAGCAAUACCGCGUGAGUGAUGAAGGACUUCGGCUGGUAAAGCGCUGUUGUUCGGAAAGAAAAAAAGCACGUUUACCCCGGAUGGUAAUGACGGUACCGAAAGAAUAAGCACCGGCUAACUCCGUG